UGGGUGGCCCUUAAACCCUCCCAAACAAACAAAGCAUUCUCUAGUUGGCGUGGAUUGUUGCCCUCCGUUGUGGACAAGCUGUUUGUGCUGGACGUAUCACCUUUAAGUAUUUCAAAGGAUAUUGCAACUUUGUCACGAUUUUUAGAAAUUAUGCAAAGAAGAGAGGUACCCAUGCACCUUACCAUGCAGGAAGCACAAAAAUGCACUGAUGAAAUUCUGAGUCCUGCUGUUCCAUUUGAAGACGAUGCUUGAACAUGUGUCCUGGAUCAUUAUUAAGUUGCAAGCAAGAGCAAAGAGGUAGAGAAAACCAGACAAUAAGUCAGGUGAAGAGAUGAGGAGGCAGCCAAUAUCAGGUCAAGUCUGAUGAUUAGAGCAUUUGACAGUGUACUGGGAAGACCAGUAUAAACAGAAAUAUUACCAGGGCAAAGAUUUACGUGAAGAAUUUUGUAUAUAUAUGUGCCAUUUCAACAAGAUGACAUCUGUGAGGGCUUCAAUAACGUUAGAUAUUUUUGGCAGACAGUUAACUUAUUGUGGGUAUGGCUAUGAUUUAAAAAAUAAUAGAAAAUAGCAUUAUUAUUAUUGGUGGAGCAACUUUUUGUGUGUUCUUAGUCAUAUCAGAAUUGAAAUGGUAAGUUUCAUGAGUAUAUUGGAAAGUAAAAGAUGAGCAAGAGACACUAAAACUGCCUUUAAAUUAAAAAAAAAAUUGUAUCUGUUGAUAAAGAAAUUUUUGAGAAUCAACAUGAAAAAUAAAUAUUUAAUUUUUCUUUUAAACUAACUUACCAACCUUUGUUAAAUUAAAACAAUAUUAGGUCCCCCAUAGCCAUGGGAGAUAAGUUCCAAGACUUGCGGAUACUGAAACCGUGGAUAGUAGUGAACCCUAUAUACAGUAUGUCAUUUUUUUGUACUUAUGAUGUUGGGUUUUGGAGGGGUAUAGGGAUGGAUGCUGGAAGCAAUGAGGUGUGAUGGUGACCAUGUGGGUGGUAGUGUGGAUGAUGGAUGUUGAGCAGGUGAGUGUGCAGUUGGUGUGGACAGUAAUUAGAGUGGCUAGUGGCUCAAUGGAAUGUUUGGGGAAUGUGUGGGGCAUGAAAACAUGGGUAAGGUGGGGGUGUGGGGCAGUGAGGGCUAGAAUCUGUAGGGAAGUGGUGAGUGAAAGGAUGAAUAUGGUGUGGGGCCAUGUGAGCUUGAAGCUGUGAGGGAGUGGUGAGUGACAGCAUGAGUAUGGUGUGGGGCCAUGUGAGCUUGAAGCUGUCAGGGAGUGGUGAGUGACAGCAUGAGUAUGGUGUGGGGCCAUGUGGGCUUGAAGCUGUCAGGGAGUGGUGUGGGUGAAAGGUGUGCUUGUCAUUGGCUUGGUGUAGGUGGUGAUUGGAUGAUGGGUGACAGAGUGGACAAUUAUACAGCUGGUGGUAAUGAGUGUGGUGGGUAACUAAGUGAUUAGGUAUGGUGACAGCAUGUUAGGGUGAAAGGUCAGGUAAGGUGUGCAAGUGAGGUCAUAGGGGAUAUAUGGCCAUGAGGGAAUGGUGAUUGCGGGGAGAAUGGUAUAGGUGUGAGCGUGUGGCCUUGGGGAAAAUUGUAUCUGCAGAUUGUGUGGGGUAGGUUGUUGGUCGGGACGGUAUGGAUGAAGGCUGAGAUUUACACCAAAUGUUGCCAGAUUGCUGAACUGUUUUUUGGUAACCUUAACUUAUUUUCCAAAUAUUUUUGAUGGUUUUCAUACCUGCCCAAGCUUGGCUACCUCCCCUUAAUUAUAAAAUAUCUUAGCCUAUUGUAGGUACUCACCAGCUUCUCAGUUCUUUAUUGUUGCUGUGAUGAUAUAAUGUGAUGAUGAUACAGUGCCUGUGAGGAUGAGAUGAAGUGAGGUGAUGGUGUAGGUACUGUGAUUGUGUUAGGUGAUUGACUAGUGAGGAAGCGAUGCAAAGAGGAGUAGAAUUGGCAAACAGUAGGUGGAAAAUCUGUGUUGUAUACUGGGGAGAGAUUGAGGAAAAGAAGGAAUCAUGGUUUUACAAUCCCAUGAAGGGAAUUUGUAAUAGCCUUUACUGUUUGUUUUAUUUAUUUUAAAAUACCCAAAAAUAAAUUAAGAAUUUUGGAGGAUGCAGAAUAAUGAUAUGUUGUUCAAUUCCUUCUAUGCAGUUCGUCUUUAGCCUUGUUCAUAUAAAGUUAACUAUAACAUCCUAAAUGUUAACAAUUUGGCACAAAUUUUACCAAGGUGUUGCCAUAUCAAAAAUCAUUAUUUUUAUUUCUUUUCUUAUUUUUGGGCAAACUUCUCUUUGGACCACCUUAACUUAAAAUAAAAAAUAAUUGAAAUUAAACUAUUAUUAAAAAUUACCUAGUAGAAGCCUGCUUCCCUCUUAAUAUUUCCAGGCCACCUUGAACCAUGGAUUACUGGAACCUUGGAAACCGAACCUGCAGAUAUGGGGGUUCUAUUAUAAUCUAGCUUAAUCUCGCCCAGCUUAUGUUAAGUCAGUUAAAAUUUAGUUAGUAAUAUUUUACAUCAGUUAAAUAUAUUUAUUUUGUGACAUUGAGACUACUAUUGCAAUAACUGCAAAAAUCAAGCUACACUUUGCAAAAUGAUCUUUGCUUUAUAAUCCAAGAAUACAAGCUCUGUCUAAAAAGGACAUGCAUAUACUGAACACAUAUACAGUAAAACCUUUUAUACUGCAUCCUUUUAUACUGUAGUACAAUUUUGUGUAAACAAAAUUGACCAAGUGCAAUCAAAAUUUCAUGGCACAAAACAAUCUCGAUUUUACACAAUGGUAAUAAAAUAUGUACAUAUGUACAUACAUUAAGCAGUGUCCAAAAUUUGGGUAGUACACUCCAGAGAUAUUUCUUAGUGUGUUUACCAGGCUAUAAGCAACACCCUGCCCCCAGCCUCCCACUGCUUGUACUCAGCAAGAGCAAGUCAUGUCUUCUAGACUGCAUUUUUCUUACCUAACUAAUGUUUUCCAAUUUUUGUGUAGAUUAUGAAUGCUUAGUUUAUAUAAAAGAUCUGUAUAAAAUAAACCAUACCACAGGCGGGGAUAGAACCCGCAAUUAGAGAGUAUGGUUUGGUUUGUUUGCAAUUGUGUCAUUACGAUUUCAUGAGUCCUGUAUAAAAUGUUUGAAGAGAUUAUUCAAUAUACAUGUAUUAAUAUCAGGAAUUGACAAAAUUUCAAUAGAAGAGGAAGAAGACUUAAUUCAGAUUAUUAAACCCUGAAGAUUAGUAACCUAAUAUCAUACAUUAUUAUAAUUUGUCCUGUAAUUGUUUUACAUGAUGGUAGGAUUACUGGUGUCUUUUUUCUGUCUCUUAAACAUGCAAGAUUUCAGAUACGUCUUGCUACUUCUACUUACACUUAGGUCACACUACACAUACAUGUACAAGCAUAUAUAUACACACCCCUCUGGGUUUCUAUUUUCUUUCUGGUUCUUGUUCUUGUUGAUUUCCUCUUAUCUCCAUGGGAAAGUGGAACAGAAUUCUUCCUCCGUAAGCCAUGUGUGUUGUAAGAGGCGACUAAAAUGCCGGGAGCAAGGGCCUAGUAACCCCUUCUGUAUAAAUUACUAAAUUUAAAUAGAGAAACUUUCAUUUUUCUUUUUGGGCCACCCUGCCUUGAUGGGAUACGGCCGGUUUGUUGAAAAAAAAAAUUAUAAUUUGUAAUCACACAAUAGUGUUUCUUUAACAGUGACAUAUGUAUGUACUGUAACUGCAUUUGUACAGUUGUUGAAAAUGUUCAUGAUUAAGCCUGGUACAAUUUGGUAAGGAAAUUUGGCUUUACUUUUUAUGUUUACAUGCACCAAAUGUGCAUCAGCUGAUUAACAUUGCUACAUCUAACUCUGCCCAGUAGGUCCAUGUUAACCCUUACCAUGCUUUAAAUGCUUCUAUUAAAAAUACAUACAGGAAGUAUUGUUUUCUUAGAAAGGGCUCCAGAUCUUGGGUCUGGCAUUGGUGUCACUCGUCCUGAACAAGUUCCUUAUUAUCUCCCUCACUAGAUCACCUUUCAACUGAGAUGCUUUGAUGCUGGUUAAGAGUUUUUGAUGCGAGGAAUAGGAGCUACCUUCCCAAUCCUUGUAUCAACCCUGAAUAAACCCCCUUACCUCCCGUCUCCCAUUCUACAAAAAGGGGGCUCCAGAAGUUUUAUAUAGGAGGGGUUUAAGGGUGACAAUGUGGUUGGAAUAAGAGUGGGGACUAGGGGACUUGUCUUGAACCUACCUUAUUAUUUUUAUUUUGGGGGCUGAAGGAAUGGCCGUGUGGGUUUCAGUCACCUCUGACCAGCCUUGUAUGACCCCUACGAGUUUUAGCUCUUUGAUUAAGGUGAUUAAUUUCUAUUUAAAAUGUUUGCCCUCAUCUUUGUCCCACCUUUCUUGUUUCCUCAGAUGACUAUGUCGAGGCCUCAUAUUACUGUGUUCACGUGGAAACAUUGAACCUGUAAGGGUGUCAUGUCACAGAGU